rnacentral:rRNA from 1 species
AGAGUUUGAUCAUGGCUCAGAUUGAACGCUGGCGGCAGGCCUAACACAUGCAAGUCGAACGGUAGCACAGAGAGCUUGCUCUCGGGUGACGAGUGGCGGACGGGUGAGUAAUGUCUGGGAAACUGCCUGAUGGAGGGGGAUAACUACUGGAAACGGUGGCUAAUACCGCAUAACGUCGCAAGACCAAAGAGGGGGACCUUCGGGCCUCUUGCCAUCAGAUGUGCCCAGAUGGGAUUAGCUAGUUGGUGAGGUAACGGCUCACCAAGGCGACGAUCCCUAGCUGGUCUGAGAGGAUGACCAGCCACACUGGAACUGAGACACGGUCCAGACUCCUACGGGAGGCAGCAGUGGGGAAUAUUGCACAAUGGGCGCAAGCCUGAUGCAGCCAUGCCGCGUGUAUGAAGAAGGCCUUCGGGUUGUAAAGUACUUUCAGCGGGGAGGAAGGUGUUGUGGUUAAUAACCGCAGCAAUUGACGUUACCCGCAGAAGAAGCACCGGCUAACUCCGUGCCAGCAGCCGCGGUAAUACGGAGGGUGCAAGCGUUAAUCGGAAUUACUGGGCGUAAAGCGCACGCAGGCGGUCUGUCAAGUCGGAUGUGAAAUCCCCGGGCUCAACCUGGGAACUGCAUUCGAAACUGGCAGGCUUGAGUCUUGUAGAGGGGGGUAGAAUUCCAGGGGUAGCGGUGAAAUUCGUAGAGAUCUGGAGGAAUACCGGUGGCGAAGGCGGCCCCCUGGACAAAGACUGACGCUCAGGUGCGAGAGCGGGGGGAGCAAACAGGAUUAGAUACCCUGGUAGUCCACGCCGUAAACGAUGUCUACUUGGAGGGUGUGCCCUUGAGGCGUGGCUUCCGGAGCUAACGCGUUAAGUAGACCGCCU